rnacentral:rRNA from 1 species
AUUGAACGCUGGCGGCAGGCUUAACACAUGCAAGUCGAGCGGGGGAGGUUACUUCGGUAACUGACCUAGCGGCGGACGGGUGAGUAAUGCUUAGGAAUCUGCCUAUUAGUGGGGGACAACAUUCCGAAAGGAAUGCUAAUACCGCAUACGUCCUACGGGGGAAAGCAGGGGAUCUUCGGACCUUGCGCUAAUAGAUGAGCCUAAGUCGGAUUAGCUAGUUGGUGGGGUAAAGGCCUACCAAGGCGACGAUCUGUAGCGGGUCUGAGAGGAUGAGCCGCCACACUGGGACUGAGACACGGCCCAGACUCCUACGGGAGGCAGCAGUGGUGAAUAUUGGACAAUGGGGGGAACCCUGAUCCAGCCAUGCCGCGUGUGUGAAGAAGGCCUUUUGGUUGUAAAGCACUUUAAGCGAGGAGGAGGCUCCUUUAGUUAAUACCUAAAGAGAGUGGACGUUACUCGCAGAAUAAGCACCGGCUAACUCUGUGCCAGCCGCCGCGGUAAAAC